rnacentral:lncRNA from 1 species
GAAAUGCAUAGAAAAUAUAUAUACCAAAAACAACUUUAAUCAUUUGUCUAAAGCAUGUCUCAUGUCUGACUUCUUUUCGUGUGCUCCAUAAUCAUAUGUUGAUUGUUUUUGAGGUCAUAUUCGGUAAAUUUUGACAAUAAAACAUAAAAUAUAAAAGUUUUGAAUACAGGACUUUGUUAAGUAUAUACAUGCAUCGGUUCAAGAAAUUCCUGAUCAUUAUAAUUUCAAAACAAUCGUUUCAUAUAACUUUUUAACAACUCCCGAAACCAAUGUCACCAUUAUUUAUUAAUUUAUUAAGAAUACAUGUAUACAAUUGUUUUAUCAUUAGCUAAUCAAAUCAUAACACGGAUAAAAAAAAAUGAUUAACAAAACUAAUUAUCUAUUUUUAUUAUAUAUAUCUGUUUACAAUAACUUAUAAAGAACUAUGCAAACGUAAAUUUCAGUAUUAAAGUACAAACUCCAAUAGAUUAUCUAUAAUAAAAAUACACCUGAUUAUACAUGAAUUUACGUUCAACAAAUUAAGCAUUUUACAUUCAGUUUCCGAUUCUUCUACAAUUGUUGAAAGGUAUCCAGACACACCAUUUUAGUUCAUGCAGGGGUGUCCACUUUUACAUUUAUGACAAAGAUCACUGCGGUGGGGCUUAUUUGGAUCGGUAUGGCGUUGUGCUCUUUCCUCCCGGGAACAAGUACAGUUGACCUAACCACAAAUCGAGCAUUUCAACCUUU